UGUCUGUGUUUCCUAGUUUAUUAUAGAGGACAUGAAGCAGCAGCAAACCAACAAACACAGCAACCUGCACCGUGAAGACCAGCACAUCACUGUGGAGGAGCUGUGGACAGGCUGGAAGACCUCUGAAGUCAACAACUGGGCAAUGAUGGACGACACGGUGUGGUGGCUGAAAGAGUCCGUGGAGCUGCUGCAGUGAGAGAGGACCCUCCAGGACUUCAAGGGCACACUUUACCUCGUAUUGACCAAAGAUCGACGUCUUCCUAUUCAAGUACAGAUUUCCCUCAACAUGACCUCCACUUUGUGUGUGUGAAGAGCUUCAGGCAUCCACUGCAACUCCUCCUCUCGCCCAGUCCUUUGUAGCUUCGAGGGUAAGUGUUCAAGUUGCACAAAAAACGUUGGUUUACACAAAGCUUGAGAAAAAUGUGGUUUUCUAGCUUUUUAAUUGGAAAUGUCCCUUUAAAAAACGUCAGAUCAAAGAAAAA